GCGGGGAUAGCUCAAUUGGGAGAGCAUCAGACUGAAGGUUUGAAGGUUACAUGUUCGAUCCAUGCUUAUUGCA
rnacentral:tRNA from 1 species